rnacentral:rRNA from 1 species
GACGAACGCUGGCGGCGUGCUUAACACAUGCAAGUCGAACGGAAAGGCCCUGCUUUUGUGGGGUGCUCGAGUGGCGAACGGGUGAGUAACACGUGAGUAACCUGCCCUUGACUUUGGGCUAUCUUUAGGAAACUGGGGCUAAUACCGGAUAGGGGCUCCUGCUGCCGGGGGGGGGUUGGAAUGUUUCGGCGGGUGGGGAUGGACUCGCGGCUUCUCAGCUUGUUGGUGGGGGAGGGUCUUACCAAGGGUUUAACGGGACGCCGGCCUGAGAGGGUGACCGGCCACAUUGGGACAGAGAGACGCCCCAGACGCCCACGGGAGGCAGCAGUGGGGAAUAUUGCACACAGGGCGGAAGCCUGAGGCAGCAACACCGCGGGGGGAAUGACGGCCUUCGGGUGGUAAACCGUUUUCGCCUGUGACGAAGCGUGAGUGACGGUACUGGGUAAAGAAGCACCGGCUAAUUACGU